UACGAACUGUGCGAACGUUAUUCGGAAUCACUGGGCUUAAAGGGUGCGUAGGCGGGUCUUUAAGUCAGGGGUGAAAUCCUGGAGCUCAACUCCAGAACUGCCUUUGAUACUGAAGAUCUUGAGUUCGGGAGAGGUGAGUGGAACUGCGAGUGUAGAGGUGAAAUUCGUAGAUAUUCGCAAGAACACCAGUGGCGAAGGCGGCUCACUGGCCCGAUACUGACGCUGAGGCACGAAAGCGUGGGGAGCAAACAGG
rnacentral:rRNA from 1 species